AGUGCACACGGCUCGGACUGUCAAAACCCAAAGUGGAUAAAGUUUGGGAGUCGGCUGGACUCAGACCUGGUGGUGAUCACAGCAUAAAAACAACAACUCUGCAGGCAGGUGUUGAGGAGGAGGGUUGAAGUUUCCUCGCCUUCGUCCUCGCCGUCCGUCGCUCUACGUGUCUUUGGGCUCCAGCUUGCAGGACAUGUCGAACAGCAAGUUCUGGUUGUCGAUGACCUGCAGCUGCCGGACGUAGGCCUUUGUCUGCAGGUGGGAGGGGGACGUCUCCGUAUCCAUGGCUACCAGCUGACUGCUCCUGUAGCGUCUGAUGAUCCUCACCAUCUCGGCCACUUUAUGCUGCAAAUAGACGAAACCACAGAAGAAGAAGGGAUUGAGACAGUCAGAGACGCUGUGUUUCUGGAGAUGUUUUGUGUCUCUUUGUGGUCAUUUGUUGGAUCUUUUUGUAGUCUAAAGUGUGUGUGGUCAGUUUGUGUAUCAGUCGCACAUUUAAACUCACCAUCUUCUCAAAGUUGACGAGUUCACCGUGAAACGUCUUGCAGCUUUCGUGAAGAAACGUCAAGUCUGUCAGAGAAAAGAGAUUCAGGUUUGUUAAAGUCAACACAAAUUGACACAAAUGGGAUCACACAGACAAAAGAACCAAAGCAAAAAUACACAGAAUGAGCAAAGAUAAAAACCCAAAAAACAAAAACACAGACAAAAACUUUCUGAAAAAAGACAAAAAAAACCCCAACAAAACAUGAAAAAUAAGACCAAAAACAGACUCAAAAUGACGGUAUUUUUCAGGUUGUUUUCCAUCAGUUCCUCUAUUUCACCACUAGGGGGCGUUGCUGUAAACUCUAUGUGUGUGUUUUAUCUUUUUGUUGUUUUGCUGCUUUGUAGGGUUUUUUUUUGAGGACAUUUAGUGUCUUUUUGUGGUUGUUUUUAACCAGCAGGAGGCACCACAGUGGCCAUAACAGCUGUCAUCCUGCUUUUCUAAAGAGGAAACCUCCACCCUCAGCUCUGUGUUACCAUGGAGACACAGAGCUGCACACACACAUUUGUACAUUUGUGUUUGUGUGUAUGCAGGUCAACAGUAGCUGAUUAGCCAGGGGUGCUAAUUAGCGAGGUGCAGCUAACGUCUCUGCAGCAGCUUCACAUCUGGUCCACAGCUGGAGUCUCAGAGGACCAAUCAGUGGCGGUUUAUCAAUAACCCCACAGACCAGAAUCUGAUCACCAGUUAAUGUUUAUUUCAGGAGACUCAAGGCUAGUUUCUGGUAGCAUCGCUAAGUUGGGUAAUCAGUGCAGGUAAAUAAAACCAAGCUGUCUGUUAAAGAAAACAAAAAACAGACGCAAAACUACCAAAGGAAGAUAAAAAUGAUCAAAAAGUCAUCAAAGCAAGACAUGAACUACCUAAAAUCUAAAAUCACGACUAACAAACUCUUCCUUAAACUUGAGUAAAUAACUAAGACCGGACUUGAGGUGUUUUGGCUGAGUUUGGCUAGAAUAAUAAGGUCAGAUCUGUAGAACUUAAACUUCCAGAUGUUGGUUCACCCUUGAGCAGCAGAGGAGUGAAGGGGAUCAGAGGAGGCCUCAGGCUGGUGAUCAGGUCUCUGUAGGACUUAUGGUUCCUGGACGGGUCCUAGAGAGCAGAAGAUCAAUACAACCUGAUCAGUACACACCUGAUCAAUAUAAACUUGAUCAAUACAACCUUGAUUAAUAUGAACUUGAUCAAUACACACUGGAUCAGUUUAACCUGAUUAAUACAACCCUGAUUAUUAUGAUCCUGAUCAAUACUAACUAUAUGAAUACAAACCUGAUCAAUACACAUCUGAUCGAUACAAAUCUGAUCAAUACAACCUGAUCAAUAUAACCCUGAUCAAUACAUACCUUAUCCAUACAACCUUAAUUAAUAUGAAUCUGAUUAAUAUGAAGCUGAUCAAUACACACCUGACCAGCUCUGAUCAAUGAUAGAUAAUGAUUAAUAAAACUCACCGCGAUGCUUUCAAACUGCUGGAACUGUUUCCUGAACUUCCCUGGUAGACCCUGAACAUAAGAUCAAUACGAUACCUGAUCAAUAACUGAUCAAUACAACAUAAAUAUGACAGACAACGAUCAUGGAUAUAUUGAUAUUUCUAUCACAGUUCACGUCACAAACAGAACUGAUAAAUAAUGUGGCCUAUUGAUCUGAAGAUAAUCAUUAUUAACGGAUCAGUAAAGAGACAAAAAAGAACCAAGAGGAAUGAAAAUAAAAACAACCAGACUGUAAACAGACAACGAGGUGGAAGAAAACGUUCUAAAAGUUGUUUUAAAUCUUUAUUUCCAGCUUCAUGUUUACUGAGGUCAGACGAACUUCUUACCUCCCAGGUGAGUCUCAGUCUGCUGACGGCCGGAUUGUCCAAACCCAGAACCACAGCCAGGAAGGAGAGCAGGUCCUGCUGCUGCUUACAGCUGGAAUACACAACAACACACAAUGUUACAGCACAACACAACAUCACACACAAUGUUACACACAAUGUUACAGCACAACACAACAUCACACACAAUGUUACACACAAUGUUACAGCACAACACAACAUCACACACAAUGUUACACAAUAACACAACGUUACAGAACACAACACACAUCACACAAUGUUACACAAUAACACAUUACACAACAUUACACAACAACACAACGCACACAACACACAACAAUGCACAAUGUUACACAAUAACACAACAUUACACAACAUUACACAACACAAUGUCACAACACACAACACAACAUUACACAGCAUUAAACAACAACACACACACACAACACAUUAAUGUUACACCACACACAACAGCACAUUACACAAUAACACAACGUUACACAACAACACACACCAUCACACAACAACAUAACAUUACAGAACAACAACAUCACACUGUGAACUGAACUCACAGCGCUGCGAUCUUGAUGAACUUGCGCAGCAGCUGGAUCCUCUUCGGCAGCGACUGACACUGCAGGAUCUCCGUGGCGACCCAGUGCUGCACCUCGCUGCAGCGCUGCAGUACCAGCUCUAGGUUCAGGGGGCGCCAGCGAGACUGUUCACCAUGAAACACGUAGCACACAAACUCCACCUGCAGGGACACCAACGAAGAAGAACAGCUGUUAAAGACAUGAACAACUAAAAAUAGGCGGAAAAUACCAACAAAUAAGACACAAAUCAUCAAAAACUGGCUGAAAGAAACACCAAAGAAAGUCACAAAUGACAAAAAAAGUAACCAAAAAAAGAUGACAGAACUACCAAAGAAAGACACAAACCACAAAAAAAUGCUCAAAAAAAUCCCCAAAACACUCCGAUAAACUACCACAAAUGACAAAAAUGAACUACAAAUGACCAAAAAGACACCAAACUACUUAAAAGACACAAAUGAUCAAGAAACAACCAGAAAUUACAAAUACUCUGAUAAAAAAACCCACAAAUGACGAGUGAAGUGAAACAGAUGACAAAACUAGGGAAGUGUGUGUGUGACCUCGUGCACGCAGCUGAACAGCUCCCAGUCAAAAACCACCAGCUGGUUAGAAACCUCCUCAGCUGACAUGUCGUGUAGUUUACUGUCUCCAGGACUCCAGUGAAUCUCUUCAGGCAGAGGCAACUGAUGGACGAAACACCGAUCUACUGUCAGCAUCGCAUUCUCUGGUUCCAUUAACAUGUCUGAUCAGUGACUGUUCAUAUCAAACUCUGGUUCCAUUAACAUGUCUGAUCAGUGACUGUUCAUAUCAAACUCUCUGGUUCCAUUAUUUAUUACUUUAAACGAAUUUUGAAUGACACCUAAAGAAUAAAGAUUAAAUAUUCAGA